CCUUCCAGACUCCUACGGGAGGCAGCAGUAGGGAAUCUUCGGCAAUGGACGAAAGUCUGACCGAGCAACGCCGCGUGAGUGAAGAAGGUUUUCGGAUCGUAAAACUCUGUUGUUAGAGAAGAACGUUGGUGAGAGUGGAAAGCUCAUCAAGUGACGGUAACUACCCAGAAAGGGACGGCUAACUACGUGCCAGCAGCCGCGGUAAUACGUAGGUCCCGAGCGUUGUCCGGAUUUAUUGGGCGUAAAGCGAGCGCAGGUGGUUUAUUAAGUCUGGUGUAAAAGGCAGUGGCUCAACCAUUGUAUGCAUUGGAAACUGGUAGACUUGAGUGCAGGAGAGGAGAGUGGAAUUCCAUGUGUAGCGGUGAAAUGCGUAGAUAUAUGGAGGAACACCGGUGGCGAAAGCGGCUCUCUGGCCUGUAACUGACACUGAGGCUCGAAAGCGUGGGGAGCAAACAGGAUUAGAUACCCUGGUAGUCCACGCCGUAAACGAUGAGUGCUAGAUGUAGGGAGCUAUAAGUUCUCUGUAUCGCAGCUAACGCAAUAAGCACUCCGCCUGGGGAGUACGACCGCAAGGUUGAAACUCAAAGGAAUUGACGGGGGCCCGCACAAG
rnacentral:rRNA from 1 species